AUGACUACAGAAGAACAUAUAAAUCUCACAAAGGGCUGUAUGACCUUUGAGGACAUCGCCAUUUACUUCUCACAGGACGAGUAGGGACUGCCUGAUGAGGCUUGGAGGCUCCUAUACCUUGAAGUGAUGCUGGAGAACUUUGCACUUGUAUUUUACCCAGGAUUUUGUACAGAAAUACUGGGCGUGGUGGAGCCUGCAGCAAACUAGUUGGAAUGUGCCUCUUGUAAAAGUAGCCUCACUGGGUUGUGGGCAUGGUAAAGAGGAUGAAGAGACACCUUCUGAGCAGAAUGUUUCUGUGGGAGUGUCACAGUUUAAGGCAGGUUCAUCCACACUGAAGACUCAACCCCGGGAGAUAUAUGUUCCAUUCCUGAAAGAUAUCUUGCCUCUGGCUAAUCUCCCUGGGCGGGAACCUUACUUGGUUGGAGCACGUGCAAACCAGUACCAGCACCAGAAACAUCACAGUGCAAAGAAAUCCUUGAAGAGGGACAUGGACAGAGCCUCGUAAGUGAAGCACUGCCUUUUCCAUAUGUCAGGGAAGCCCUUCCGCAAAUGCGAGGUUGGGAAGGACCUCCCAGCCAUCUUGGGGCUUCUAGGUCCCUGGUCUUUCCUAAAACUGAGAAGCCCAACACGAUCACCAAAUGUGGAGAGGACACUCACAGUCAAAAAAGUCAUUACAAGUCAGGUCAGUGUGGGAAGGCUUCCAGGCACAAGCACUCCUGUUCACUGUCUAAGAGUUUACACUGGACAAAGCCUUUAUGAGUGUAUCAAAUGUGGGAAAGCUGGCUGGGCGCAGUGGCUUACACCUGUAAUCCCAACACUUUUCAAGGCCGAGGUGGGCGGAUCACCUGAGGUCAGGAGUUUGAGACCAGCCUGGCCAAUAUGGUGAAACCCUCUCUACUAAAAAUACAAAAAAAAAAAAAAUUAGCCAGGUGUGGUGGUGUGCACCUGUAGUCCCAGCUACUUGGGAGGCUGAGGUAGGAGAAUUGCUUGAACCCAGGAGGCAAAGGUUGCAGUGAGCUGACAUCACAUCACUGCACUCUAGCCUGGACAACAGAGUGAAAGUCUGUCUCAAAAACAAAAAACAAAACAAAACAAAAAAUGGCAAAUGUGGGGAAGCCUUCUGUGGCAAGUACUCACUUGUUUAGCACCAGAGAGUUCACACUGGAGAAAGGCCUCCAUCCUUAUUCAACAUGGGAGAAUUCAUAUUGGAGCAAGGCCUUAUGAGUGUGGCCAGCAUGGAAAGUUCUUUAGUCAAAAGUCUGGCCUUAUUCAACACCAGGUGGUUCUCACUGGAGAAAGGCCUUAUGAGUGCAACCAAUGUGGGAAUUCCUUUAGCCAGUGCGCCAGCCUCAUUCAUCACCAAAAAUGUCAUAACACGUGGAGGCCUCAUGAAUGCAGCAAAUGUGGAAGAGUGUUUACCUUCAAGAUCUAUCAUCUUUUAGCUCCUGAAAGUCCACAC
rnacentral:lncRNA from 1 species